AGUGAACGCUGGCGGCAGGCCUAAUACAUGCAAGUCGAGCGGAGCGGCGGACGGGUGAGUAAUGCCUAGUAAUCUGCCUGGUAGUGGGGGACAACGUCCGGAAACGGGCGCUAAUACCGCAUACUAUCAGAUCAGCCUCGGUCGCAUUAGCUAGUUGGUGGGGUAAAGGCCUACCAAGGCGACGAUCCGUAACUGGUCUGAGAGGAUGAUCAGUCACACUGGAACUGAGACACGGUCCAGACUCCUACGGGAGGAAGCAGUGGGGAAUAUUCGACAAUGGGCGAAAGCCUGAUCCAGCCAUGCCGCGUGGGUGAAGAAGGUCUUCGGAUUGUAAAGCACUUUAAGUUGGGAGGCGUUACCAACAGAGUAAGCACCGGCUAACUACGUGCCAGCAGCCGCGGUAAUAC
rnacentral:rRNA from 1 species